AGCUUCGUAGCUCAGCUGGAAGAGCGCUUGCCGCAUUGAGGCAUGCCGUGUCUGUCGCUGGUUUGAAUCCAGCCGAAGCCC
rnacentral:tRNA from 1 species